UUGUCUUCAAAGACAAGAUGCAAUACUGGCAACUUAAAUAGUUUCUGCGUAUAGCUGUAAUACAAAUUGUAAAGUAUCGCAUACUACUGGUUACUUAGCAUGAUAGGUACUAAUAAUUGCAAUAAUGACGCUUAUUUGCAGAAAGCCAUUUAAUUUUUCACGUUUGCAUAUGGCGAUCCCUAAACUGAACCAAAUCGAAGUGAUCGGGAGAAUCUCAAUCGCACAAUUUUCGCAUCUUCUCAAAACCCAUUCGAGUGGAAGGUCAGAGGGACGGGACCUCUGGCUUUCUCAUCCACUGUUUUGAGAAGGAGGCGAAGAGAGAUGACGCGAGGAUAAAGAAGCGAAAGCGGUUUGUCAGGUGACUAGCUGGCUCAGAUAAUUCAUGAAUUUUACAGUCGACAAAAGUAUGAUAUCUAGGUUGCUUGUACCAACAUUAUUGUCCGUGAAAAGUUCUGCACAAUAUACCAUUUGCCCCUGCAUUUGAGACUACUGAAACGGCUUUGAAUGCAUUAUGCUUGACACCGUGACUGCGGUGGUGAUGAUUGCGCAAUACAAUGGCAGUGUAUUGCUACGUCAGUGGAGAACACAUCAGCAACACCAACCUGGGGACCAGAGCCUCACAUAUGUUUGCAGGUCCUAUACGAGGACAUCGGCGAGUUAAGCUGCGUGGAUGUCACCACCUUCAUCUACUUCUCUGUGUUUCCCCCACUCAUCUACGUCACCUUCCUCAAAGGCUUCUUCGGCUCAGAGCCCAAGGUCCUCUUCUCCUACAAGUGUCAGGUGGACGAGCCUGACGACCAGACGGAUGUCCACCUGCCCCCCACCUCAGGCCUGGGCCACAAGGAGCAGCUGGAACAGGGCUCCUUCUACCCCGGCACCCAGAUAGAUGGCCUGACUGCUGCAACCAUGGGCACCGGCAUAGCUGCUUACCUGGACGAUGUGGCCUCUGGUCCUUUCAACAGCGACCGCUGGAGAGCCAUCAAUGCCUGAGAGGAGAGGAAAUGAAAAGGCAGGAUAGGGGAUAUUGGACUUGUUGAGUGGAGAAGUUGGAGUUUGCUAUGGCACUCUCUCCCUCCGGAGACACUGUGAAUUGACUCUCAUUUCAGCGCCUGUCUGUUCUCCAUUUUGGAUCUUGCUGCCUUGUCCAUUCUGGCUCAAACAUGACAUUUUCCCCCAAUACCUGCAGGGGAUAUUUCUACAACUUCAGUCAAGUAUUAUCCCCCCUGUAAAUUAGUGUGUGGCUGACCAAGAUAAGAAGAUAAUGUAAAGGUAAUGUCCGAUACAUUUCCAUCGAAGGAUUACAACUGAGGUAAAGUCCAUUAACUGUGGCCUUGUAUUAGAUUUGUAAUCGUCUUGUAUUGAAUAACUGCCUCACUCCCUAUAGGCCAGCCCUGUUCUUAUCGCGCUAGGAGCCUUCUCUAAAUUACAUCACUCAUAAUGAAUCAAGUGUGCUUAAUUAUUUUUUUAAUGUUUGAUAUCAGUGCUUUUUUUCCCCCUCUUGUUGAUGAUCGAAAUCCUACAGUGUAACGUCAUGUAGAAAUUGAAGACCUGUUUGGCUUGAGUCUACAUUUUACAUUUACAUUUUAGUCAUUUAGCAGACGCUCUUAUCCAGAGCGACUUACAGUAAUGAAUGCAUACAUUUCAUGCAUUUUUUUUUUUGUACUGCCCCCCCGUGGGAAUCGAACCCACAACCCUGGUGUUGCACACACCAUGCUCUACCAACUGAGCCACAGGGAAUGCCGGGACUUGGUAUGCCAUGUCAGACAAUUAGCAGUGAUUAACUGGUAUCUAUGUAACUUGCUGCUGGGGCUGGGAGAGACCCAAAAUGGAUGCCAUGCCGCACCCAUGUCGCCUCUACCUAUUUUAUGUUAUUGUUUGGCGUCGGUUUUAGUUAUUUUAGUGACUGCUUGGUUUUAUGUCGAUCGGUAGUUCCAUCAGCUGAUCAUUCCUGGUAUUAAAGGUGCUUAUGACUUAAGUAAAACUUUCCAACCACCAAUCAAAUGAGAUGGAGAAGGCAGGAACAGCACUUGUGGCGAAACAAUGUAUUUUGUGGACAUUUUUAUUUCAAGAAAUAUUCAUGCCCAUAUACAUUGGAUUCAACUGAAAAGUGAGGUUAUUUUAACGACUUGAAAUUUGUUUUCACUAUAUGAAAUUAUUGAUGAAGUCAACUUAUGGGGUUUCCCUUGUGUUCUUUAUAGUCAACCCUGCAUUCAUCACAAAGAAAGAGCAACUUUUAAACAAAGUCCAUCUGAUUGCUCAUGGUGCUCAACGCAAACUAAAUACCAAUUUUCAUGAAGCCCUACUUCCUUGUCUUAAUUCCUACUUGUAUGUCUGCUGUGAACUUAGUUGCCCACAACACAUGGCUUGCUGGGAAAGAAAUUCUAUUGGUGGCUGAAAACAAUGUAAUUCCAGUUUGUGUGAAUUACGAUGUCACUUUUUUGAUUUUAGUUUUGUUUAUGCCCCUCUUGAUUUUGUCACUGAUAUUCAUUCCCCUAACGAUUAAUGUUAUGUUUGCUAUGAUAAAAUGUGAAGUGGGUGAAGUUAUUCAUGUGACAUUAUAGCAUCCAGUGGAGGCUAGUGAGGGGAGGAUGGUUCAUCAUAAUGGCUGGAACAGAGUAAAUGGAAAAGCGUCAAACACAUGGAAACCAUGUGUUUGAUGUAUUUUAUUCCAGUCAUUACCACGAGCCCGUUCUGCCCAAUUUAAGGUGUCACCAACCUACUAGGAUAGCAUCACUACGUAUUAUAAGAGACAUUUAUUUUUUUCAUAAGCGUAUGCCACCACAAAACAAGCAUUUUAUAUUGUCAUUGUAGUAUUUUAUACAAGUCUUCUGCUUUGCUCUUCCCAAUACCUGCCCUGCAUCAACAGACUGUUGCUUGCUCUCAAACACUGCCUUAUAUUUCUAGAGAAAUGUCGGAAGAGUUGCGUUUGAGGUACAAAAUUAUACUAUACUCAAAUCAUCAUGAAUAAGGUCUCUGGGUGUGGGUUUCAAAUGCAAGUGCAGUCAUGUUAAAUAUUGAAUAUAAUAUUUAAGAUGGUAAAUGAAAGAACUUUGAAAAAGAGUGAGGAUACUUGAUGCCAGCAAUUUGUGAACAAUUUAUAGCUCAAUGAUACACUAUUAAAUUAAAAUAAAAGAACGGUGUUUCAGCAUUCCAUGAGAGACUAUUAAAAUAUGCUUCCUUUUCAUUCCUAUAGCCUGCCCAUAUGUAUUUUCUUUGGACUGUGUCUCCCCUUGGUGUUUUGUUGUGGUAUUGCAUAUGGAAAGUGGUCCCAGUAAAUGUUUCAGUUGUGCAUGGCAUGCAGUGUUUCAGUUGUCUGGGGUUAGCCAAAGCUGAAUGUAUGGCACACAAUUUUAUAUAUAUUUUGGACUAACCAAUCAUCUUUCUUGUACAAACAUGCACAACAUUUGGAGAUUUAGAUUUCUGGGAGGCAGGGGAUGACUACAGAGGUACAAUUCCCAGCCCCUUUAUGGUCGCCUAUGAUGUGUGAUAAAAUGUAAUUGCAUUCUGAUUAUUUUAUCCACCUAUACUGUGGAGAAUACUGCAUGUCCUGGAAAAGUGACCUUUCCUUUUGGAGGCCCUAAGCAAGAUUUGGUUUGAAGGGGGGGGGUCACUUCACAAGCAGAAUAUUUUAGUGCCCCCCCCUCUUGAUGGUGGAGAGAGACAUUGUUUUUGAAGUACAUUUCCUGUAAUUCUACACAUUUUGCCAUGGGGUCCCACAUGACAAAAUUCUAUAGUAUAUUUUCGUAUAAAUACAGAGAAUUAAAUAUUUUAUACUA